UACGAAGGGGGCUAGCGUUGCUCGGAAUCACUGGGCGUAAAGGGUGCGUAGGCGGGUCUUUAAGUCAGGGGUGAAAUCCUGGAGCUCAACCCCGGAACUGCAUUCGAUACUGCUUUGCUUGAGUACUGGAGAGGAGACUGGAAUUUACGGUGUAGCAGUGAAAUGCGUAGAUAUCGUAAGGAAGACCAGUGGCGAAGGCGAGUCUCUGGACAGUUACUGACGCUGAGGCACGAAGGCCAGGGGAGCAAACGGG
rnacentral:rRNA from 1 species